GAUGAGCCAGAAUUGGCACCUUGUCUUUAAUAAGGUGCAAAAUGAUUUUUAACUGAAGAGUUUGAUCAUGGCUCAGAUUGAACGCUGGCGGCAGGCUUAACACAUGCAAGUCGAGCGGAGAGAGGUAGCUUGCUACUGAUCUUAGCGGCGGACGGGUGAGUAAUGCUUAGGAAUCUGCCUAUUAGUGGGGGACAACAUUUCGAAAGGAAUGCUAAUACCGCAUACGUCCUACGGGAGAAAGCAGGGGAUCUUCGGACCUUGCGCUAAUAGAUGAGCCUAAGUCGGAUUAGCUAGUUGGUGGGGUAAAGGCCUACCAAGGCGACGAUCUGUAGCGGGUCUGAGAGGAUGAUCCGCCACACUGGGACUGAGACACGGCCCAGACUCCUACGGGAGGCAGCAGUGGGGAAUAUUGGACAAUGGGCGGAAGCCUGAUCCAGCCAUGCCGCGUGUGUGAAGAAGGCCUUAUGGUUGUAAAGCACUUUAAGCGAGGAGGAGGCUACUUUAGUUAAUACCUAGAGAUAGUGGACGUUACUCGCAGAAUAAGCACCGGCUAACUCUGUGCCAGCAGCCGCGGUAAUACAGAGGGUGCAAGCGUUAAUCGGAUUUACUGGGCGUAAAGCGCGCGUAGGCGGCUAAUUAAGUCAAAUGUGAAAUCCCCGAGCUUAACUUGGGAAUUGCAUUCGAUACUGGUUAGCUAGAGUGUGGGAGAGGAUGGUAGAAUUCCAGGUGUAGCGGUGAAAUGCGUAGAGAUCUGGAGGAAUACCGAUGGCGAAGGCAGCCAUCUGGCCUAACACUGACGCUGAGGUGCGAAAGCAUGGGGAGCAAACAGGAUUAGAUACCCUGGUAGUCCAUGCCGUAAACGAUGUCUACUAGCCGUUGGGGCCUUUGAGGCUUUAGUGGCGCAGCUAACGCGAUAAGUAGACCGCCUGGGGAGUACGGUCGCAAGACUAAAACUCAAAUGAAUUGACGGGGGCCCGCACAAGCGGUGGAGCAUGUGGUUUAAUUCGAUGCAACGCGAAGAACCUUACCUGGCCUUGACAUAGUAAGAACUUUCCAGAGAUGGAUUGGUGCCUUCGGGAACUUACAUACAGGUGCUGCAUGGCUGUCGUCAGCUCGUGUCGUGAGAUGUUGGGUUAAGUCCCGCAACGAGCGCAACCCUUUUCCUUAUUUGCCAGCGAGUAAUGUCGGGAACUUUAAGGAUACUGCCAGUGACAAACUGGAGGAAGGCGGGGACGACGUCAAGUCAUCAUGGCCCUUACGGCCAGGGCUACACACGUGCUACAAUGGUCGGUACAAAGGGUUGCUACCUAGCGAUAGGAUGCUAAUCUCAAAAAGCCGAUCGUAGUCCGGAUUGGAGUCUGCAACUCGACUCCAUGAAGUCGGAAUCGCUAGUAAUCGCGGAUCAGAAUGCCGCGGUGAAUACGUUCCCGGGCCUUGUACACACCGCCCGUCACACCAUGGGAGUUUGUUGCACCAGAAGUAGCUAGCCUAACUGCAAAGAGGGCGGUUACCACGGUGUGGCCGAUGACUGGGGUGAAGUCGUAACAAGGUAGCCGUAGGGGAACCUGCGGCUGGAUCACCUCCUUAA
rnacentral:rRNA from 1 species